UAGUUAUCAAGAAAGGUGGAGGGAAUAGACCCUGUGAAGCCUUAGCAACCCUUGGCGCCCAGUGCCAAGAAGGUGCUAAAUUCUAUCCCAAUUUGGGAAUAGAUAACAA
rnacentral:ncRNA from 2 species